GACACUAUAUUAAACAUUUUAAUGUUUAAUUUAGAGAACAUUUUACUGUUGUACAAUCGUGUUCUGGUGGUUUGAUUGUUUACAGGAUAUUCCAAAAUAAAAGGACUCUGGAAGGUUUUCAUCGAGGAUAAAUUGCCACAAUAUGAUGCAAACUAUGCUUCUCUAUGAUAAUUAUAAUACAAAGGUUCCAUUCAGUGCAGCCUAUACAAUAAUGUAAUUUAGUCUAACACAGUUGACCCUAUUUUUUGACACUUCCAUUGUUUAAAAGUACACAUGGAAAAAAAAAAAAAACCUAUAUGCUUACAGUGCACCUAGAGCUUUUUUAUAACAACCUCUUCUUUGUUUGUUUUGGAUUAUUUAAAUAUGUAUUAUUCUCAUUUAGUGCCCUCUUUAGCCAGAAUCUCAUUACUGCUUCAUUUUUGUAAUAACAUUUAAUUUAGUUAUUUUCCAUAUAUUUGCCCUGCUAAAAUAGAAUAUAGCAUAUUUCAUAUGGUAGGAACCAACAAGGAAACUUUCCUUUAACUCCCUUUUUACAUUUUAUGGUAAGUAGCAGGGGGGAAAUGCAUUUAUAGAUCAUUUCUAGGCAAAUUGUGAAGCUAAUGACCAACCUGUUUCUACCUAUAUGCAGUCUCUUUAUUUUAUUAGAAAUGGGCAUCAUGUCCUCUUAAAGAGAAAAAAAAGUCACCAUUCUGCAUCUAUCUGUAUUCCAUAUAUUGCAUUUCUGUAUUUUUUGUUGUAUUGUAAAAAAUUCAAAUAAUAAACAAUGUUGUGAUGUAAAAAAAAAAAAAAGACACUGUAUUCUUUCAAAUGUCCUUG
rnacentral:lncRNA from 1 species